GUAAGCGGUCGCGUUAAUUGCGUUUAAACCCGGGGGAGGGAGAAGAGGGGUAUGUGUGUGGGUGUAUACGGGGUGGUUCGGUCGUUUGGACGAAAUAGAAGGACCGGGAGAAUUGGAAUGGAGGAUUGGAUGCGGGUGUUAAAAGCGUUUGAAUUUUGUUUGUUUCAGGGGAAAAAAGAAAGUUGGAUUUGGGUGUAGUUGUUUUAGUUCGCGCUUGGAAAAGUAGCGUGUAAUGGAAAAAUUAAUCGACAUUUGGAUAUUUGUGAUAAAAUUUUAUAGGUAAAUAUUCGAUCUUAUCGUUUACAUUAUUGUAUCUAGCCGUGAUAUAAGUUCUGUUAACAAUGAGAAAGGUGCAAAAUUGUGAAUUAAAAGCACGUCUAAUAAGAAGAUUCUUAUUAUUCUUAUUAUUACUGUGAAAAGGAAGCGAAAACGAUUCUAUUAAUUUUUUGAAUAAAGUAUUAUCAGUGCCAAUUGUAAGAAAUUAUUAUUGGUACAAACAACAAUAGGAAAAGUGACAAUUGACGUAUAAUGAAUAAGCAAAGGGAAUCGAGAGAAAGAGAAUGCUUGGGAAAAGAUAUCUCACGUUUUCCUUCUUUAACGCAAAGAAAAAGUCGUGUUUAGUCCACGUUCUAUCGAAAAAAUCAUUGGUCGUUUUACGGAGAACGAAAGGAGGAUCAACCAGCAAUCUCUGAUGAUUUAAUUACAGUUCCAUAAUUGACCGUUCUACCAGCUACUCCACCAGCUUCACGCUUCUGCCCGGAACAGAUUUAAUGCCCGCGCACGAUGUGAACUUUUUCUCCCUGUUCUCUCACGUUUCUCUUUCUUUUGAAGCAGCUUGGACGUAAAAAUAAACGUGUAAUAAAAAAGACACACGUGAUAUAAAAUAUUUGCCUCGUGUGUAUAUUUCUUUACAAAAAUAUGCAAUUAGAUUUCACGUGGAUUUCGUGAAUCACGUUACGGGAUAUUUUAAAUAACUAUUUUAUAUUUUUAUUACGAAAAACGAAUAAACAAAGACAUUAUAUUGAUUUUUAACAAUUGUACCAAAAUUUAAAAAUUGUCUGAGGCAAAACAUAUAAAUGGAAAAUUAAAUAAAUACGAAGAUCGUUGUAGAGGCUCAGGUAACAAGAGAAACGUAAUGAAUAUUUUUACAAGAUAUAUAACGCUUUGUGACUAUGCAGGCACGCGAUACAAUACGUGCAAGACGAACACGAGUGACGUAAACGUAGUGCACAACGGUUCUGUUUUCUCGUUCACCGAGCGUAAUUGCACUGUUUGCGAAUCAAGAAUACGAAUGUGUGUGUGUGCACACGUGUUCGCGUUAAUUGCCCAUAUCUUGAUCCAUCAUGUGAAAUGAAUGCACUUUGAACUACACCGUAUAUAUGAAUAACAAAUACUAAAGGAUACCAAAUAUUAAAUAAUAUAGAAAUUUUUACACGUUCGAUAAGUGAAAGGGGUUUUUUUCAAGACGAUAAAAUAUACAAUGCAUGGAUUCUAUAUAUUAACAAUUUGCAAUUGCAAAUAAGGAUCAAUGUAUAUAUUGCUAUGAGACGAAUUACAAGCUCGGUCCACGCAGCCUGUGCCAGAGACAACUAUCUUAAUUAAGUUUAUCUUCGUUAAAGACUCGAUUCAAUGUUUCCUGUGCACAUCCGCCCGAUUGCAGCGCCCCUACUGCAUUCGUCGAUUUGCGUCCUCCAUUAUCGACUCGCUUCGAUCGUGGAUAUAAUUCAGAUCGAUUGUGCCCAAUUUCGAUACUCUUCCUUUUCUAAGUGGAAUUUGAACGAACGAAAAUUUGUUUGGACGUGAUCAAUAAGAGAAAAUAAUAUCAUUUCCUUGGAUUUUGGAAAAAAAAGGUAUUCUAUCUGGCUGUUGUUAGGAGAAUUGACGAUCAGCGUGGAGCGUCAUGAUGAUCAACGUGAAGUUACGGCACAGGAAGUGACGUCGACCGUCAACGAUAUCGAAGAUCGAUUUAAGAAGAGAUGCUUCUGGAACGCGGAACCGAACAGACGUGCCUCACCUCCACUCUGUAUAAUUAUAAAUAUUGUAUAUGAAUAAAUAUUGUAAAUAAUUGUAAAUAAUUGA